rnacentral:rRNA from 1 species
GGGUGAACGCUAGCGGCAGGCUUAACACAUGCAAGUCGAGGGGUAGCGCGGUAGCAAUACUGGCGACGACCGGCAAACGGGUGCGGAACACGUACACAAUCUGCCUCUGUCUGGGGCAUAGCCCGGAGAAAUUCGGAUUAACUCCCCAUAAUAUAAUUUUGUGGCAUCACGAGGUUAUUAAAAAUUUAUUGGACAGAGAUGAGUGUGCGUCCCAUUAGCUAGUUGGUAGGGUAACGGCCUACCAAGGCGACGAUGGGUAGCUGGUGUGAGAGCACGACCAGCCACACGGGCACUGAGACACGGGCCCGACUCCUACGGGAGGCAGCAGUGAGGAAUAUUGGUCAAUGGACGCAAGUCUGAACCAGCCAUGCCGCGUGAAGGAUGAAGGCCUUCUGGGUUGUAAACUUCUUUUAUGUGGGAAGAAACCUCUGAUUUCUAUUAGAGUUGACGGUACCAUAGGAAUAAGCACCGGCUAACUCCGUGCCAGCAGCCGCGGUAAUACGGAGGGUGCAAGCGUUAUCCGGAUUUACUGGGUUUAAAGGGUGUGUAGGCGGGCUAUUAAGUCAGCGGUGAAAUCUCCGGGCUCAACCUGGAAACUGCCAUUGAUACUAUUAGUCUUGAAUAUUGUUGAGGUAGGCGGAAUAAGUCA